CUAGUAUGAAUGGCACCACGAGGGUUAAACUGUCUCCUUUUUUUAAUCAGUGAAACUAAUCUCCCCGUGAAGAAGCGGGGAUUCUUUUAUAAGACGAGAAGACCCUAUGGAGCUUUAAACAAGUUAACACCUGCUACUAAUCNNUUCACUUUCCUGAACCACCACAUUAAGUAUAGCACCUCUGAUUAACAGUUUUCGAUUGGGGUGAUCAUGGAGCAAAAAUCAACCUCCACGACGAAAAGGAACACCUCCUUGAGCCAAAAGCUACAACUUUAAGCACUAAAAAACUAACGCACUUUGACCCAAUUCUUUGAGCAACGAACCAAGUUACCCUAGGGAUAACAGCGCAAUCCACUUUAAGAGCUCCUAUCGACAAGUGGGUUUACGACCUCGAUGUUGGAUCAGGGUAUCCCAGUGGUGCAGCCGCUACUAAAGGUUCGUUUGUUCAACGAUUAAAACCCUACGUGAUCUGAGUUCAGACCGGAGUAAUCCAGGUCAGUUUCUAUCUAUAAAGGGCUUUUUCUAGUACGAAAGGACCGAAAAAGCAUGGCCUAUAACCCAUCAAGCCAUAUAAAUUACUAUUGUUCCCAACUUAAAUAGAAGUAAACCUACCACUUAUCUCGAUAAAAGAGAAGUUAACGUAGCAUAACCUGGCCUUGCAG
rnacentral:rRNA from 1 species